rnacentral:misc_RNA from 1 species
GCCGUAAAGGUGGAUGAGUGGUGUUUGGUUUGUUACGUGUGGUUGGCUGCGGCGUUUGCAACAACUUCCAUGCUUUCAGACCUCUUCAGUUGUGCGGCAAGGCUUGUAUCGCCUUGAGCGUAUUGUGGGUUUUCUGUGUUGGCUACCUAAUCAAUGGUAUCGGUUGGAUUGAUCAAUGUUUCAUUUCGUCUUCCGUCGCAUUCGCGGCGUGAGAUGAACCUUGAUGCGGUCUCUUUGAUCCACCUCGUCGAAGCGCAUGCUUUGGCGUUGUGGCACAUUGAGCAUUGCUUGGUCUCUUGUAUACGGAACAUAUAGUGGGCAUGGAUCUAACGAUUCUCGUUUGCCCUCAUAUUAGCGUAACGCUUCUCUUACACGACUUGCACCACGUUUUAGCUCGUACGGACGUGGU